rnacentral:rRNA from 1 species
UUUAAAGUGGUACGCGAGCUGGGUUUAGAACGUCGUGAGACAGUUCGGUCCCUAUCUGCCGUGGGCGUUUGAGAUUUGAGAGGAGCUGCUCCUAGUACGAGAGGACCGGAGUGGACGAACCUCUGGUGUUCCGGUUGUGAUGCCAAUUGCAUUGCCGGGUAGCUACGUUCGGACAGGAUAACCGCUGAAAGCAUCUAAGCGGGAAGCCCCCCUCAAGAUUAGAUCUCACCGGGACUUUAAGUCCCCUAAAGAGCCCUCGAAGACUACGAGGUUGAUAGGCGAGGUGUGUAAGCGCUGUGAAGCGUUGAGCUAACUCGUACUAAUUGCUCGUGAGGCUUGAUCAUAUAACU